CCUACGGGGAGCAGCAGUGAGGAAUAUUGGUCAAUGGGCUUACGCCUGAACCAGCCAAGUCGCGUGAGGGAAGACUGCCCUAUGGGUUGUAAACCUCUUUUGUCAGGGAGCAACGCCGGCUACGUGUAGCCGGACUGAGAGUACCUGAAGAAAAAGCAUCGGCUAACUCCGUGCCAGCAGCCGCGGUAAUACGGAGGAUGCGAGCGUUAUCCGGAUUGAUUGGGUUUAAAGGGUGCGUAGGCGGAAUGCCAAGUCAGCGGUAAAAUCGCGGGGCUCAACCUCGCUCCGCCGUUGAAACUGGCGUUCUUGAGUGGGCGAGAAGUAUGCGGAAUGCGUGGUGUAGCGGUGAAAUGCAUAGAUAUCACGCAGAACUCCGAUUGCGAAGGCAGCAUACCGGCGCCCAACUGACGCUGAAGCACGAAAGCGUGGGUAUCGAACAGGAUUAGAUACCCUAGUAGUC
rnacentral:rRNA from 1 species